rnacentral:rRNA from 1 species
GAUGAACGCUGGCGGCGUGCCUAAUACAUGCAAGUCGAGCGAACAGACGAGGAGCUUGCUCCUCUGACGUUAGCGGCGGACGGGUGAGUAACACGUGGAUAACCUACCUAUAAGACUGGGAUAACUUCGGGAAACCGGAGCUAAUACCGGAUAAUAUAUUGAACCGCAUGGUUCAAUAGUGAAAGACGGUUUUGCUGUCACUUAUAGAUGGAUCCGCGCCGCAUUAGCUAGUUGGUAAGGUAACGGCUUACCAAGGCGACGAUGCGUAGCCGACCUGAGAGGUGGGCGGCCACCAGGGGAAUGGGAACCGGGCCCAGCCCCCAGGGGGAGGAACAAGAGGGGAUUCUUCGGCAGUGGGGGAAGGCCUGAGGGAACAGGGCCGGGUGAGGGAAAAAGGUCUACGGAUCGAAAAACUUUGUUAUUGGGAAAAAAAAAAUGGGUAAGAAAAUAUGCGCGUCUGGACGGUACCUAAUAAAAAAGCCACGGCUAACUACGUG